CUCAGGAUGAACGCUAGCGAUAGGCUUAACACAUGCAAGUCGAGGGGCAGCACGGUGUAGCAAUACACUGGUGGCGACCGGCGUACGGGUGCGUAACACGUAUGCAACCUACCCGCUAUUGGGGGAUAACCCGGCGAAAGUCGGACUAAUAUCCCAUAUUAUUCUUACCGGGCAUCCGGUGAGUCUGAAAGAUUUAUCGAUUGCGGAUGGGCAUGCGGAUGAUUAGCUAGUAGGUGGGGUAACGGCUCACCUAGGCGACGAUCAUUAGGGGUUCUGAGAGGAAGGUCCCCCACACUGGAACUGAGACACGGUCCAGACUCCUACGGGAGGCAGCAGUGAGGAAUAUUGGUCAAUGGGCGCUAGCCUGAACCAGCCAAGUCGCGUGAAGGAUGAACCAGAUCUAUGGUUUGUAAACUUCUUUUGCAGGGGAGUAAAGUGCGACACGUGUGUUGUAUUGCAAGUACCCUGCGAAUAAGCAUCGGCUAACUCCGUGCCAGCCGCGGC
rnacentral:rRNA from 1 species